rnacentral:rRNA from 1 species
AGUGAACGCUGGCGGCAUGCCUUACACAUGCAAGUCGAACGGCAGCACGGGGGCAACCCUGGUGGCGAGUGGCGAACGGGUGAGUAAUGCAUCGGAACGUGCCCAGUAGUGGGGGAUAACCAGUCGAAAGACUGGCUAAUACCGCAUACGACCUACGGGUGAAAGCGGGGGACCGUAAGGCCUCGCGCUAUUGGAGCGGCCGAUGUCUGAUUAGCUAGUUGGCGGGGUAAGAGCCCACCAAGGCGACGAUCAGUAGCUGGUCUGAGAGGACGACCAGCCACACUGGGACUGAGACACGGCCCAGACUCCUACGGGAGGCAGCAGUGGGGAAUUUUGGACAAUGGGCGCAAGCCUGAUCCAGCCAUGCCGCGUGCGGGAAGAAGGCCUUCGGGUUGUAAACCGCUUUUGGCAGGAACGAAACGGCGACCUCUAAUACGGGUCGUUGAUGACGGUACCUGCAGAAUAAGCACCGGCUAACUACGUGCCAGCCGCCGCAGUAAAAC